rnacentral:rRNA from 1 species
AACAGGAUUAGAUACCCUGGUAGUCCACGCCGUAAACGAUGUCGACUUGGAGGUUGUGCCCUUGAGGCGUGGCUUCCGGAGCUAACGCGUUAAGUCGACCGCCUGGGGAGUACGGCCGCAAGGUUAAAACUCAAAUGAAUUGACGGGGGCCCGCACAAGCGGUGGAGCAUGUGGUUCAAUUCGAUGCAACGCGAAGAACCUUACCUACUCUUGACAUCCAGAGAACUUAGCAGAGAUGCUUCGGUGCCUUCGGGAACUCUGAGACAGGUGCUGCAUGGCUGUCGUCAGCUCGUGUUGUGAAAUGUUGGGUUAAGUCCCGCAACGAGCGCAACCCUUAUCCUUUGUUGCCAGCGGUUAGGCCGGGAACUCAAAGGAGACUGCCAGUGAUAAACUGGAGGAAGGUGGGGAUGACGUCAAGUCAUCAUGGCCCUUACGAGUAGGGCUACACACGUGCUACAAUGGCAUACACAAAGAGAAGCGACCUCGCGAGAGCAAGCGGACCUCAUAAAGUAUGUCGUAGUCCGGAUUGGAGUCUGCAACUCGACUCCAUGAAGUCGGAAUCGCUAGUAAUCGUGGAUCAGAAUGCCACGGUGAAUACGUUCCCGGGCCUUGUACACACCGCCCGUCACACCAUGGGAGUGGGUUGCAAAAGAAGUAGGUAGCUUAACCUUCGGGAGGGCGCUUACCACUUUGUGAUUCAUGACUGGGGUGAAGUCGUAACAAGGUAACC